rnacentral:rRNA from 1 species
UUGAAAGGGAAACGAUUGAAGUCAGUCGUACUUGCGGGUAAUCAGCCUUUUGGGUGUGAUUCUGUGGAGCGUGGGGAGUUAAACGCCUUCAUGCCUGCGUAUUCGUGCACUUUGGGUGUACUUGCCCGUGUGGUAGGUUAACAUCAAUUUUGAUCAUCAUAAAAUGGCUGGAGGAAUGUAGCUUCGAUCUCGUAUUGAAGUGUUAUAGCCUUCGGCAGAUGUGAUGAUCGGGAUUGAGGAUUGCAACGGAUACCCUUCGGGGCUACCUGCCUGAUCUCUGAUUGUUGCUCUGGUGCCGAAAGCGUGCUUACGGUUAUCAAAGUCGAUGGUCAACAGGUUAGAACGGGUUAAAUUCGUUAAGGAUGUUGACGUA